rnacentral:rRNA from 1 species
CACGUAGGGGGCAAGCUUUGUCCGGAUUUAUUGGGCGUAAAGAGCUCGUAGGUGGUUCGGUAAGUCGGGUGUUAAACCCCCAGGCUCAACCUGGGGACGCCACUCGAUACUGCUGUGACUAGAGUCCGGUAGGGGAGCGUGGAAUUCCUGGUGUAGCGGUGAAAUGCGCAGAUAUCAGGAGGAACACCAGCGGCGAAGGCGGCGCUCUGGGCCGGUACUGACACUGAGGAGCGAAAGCGUGGGUAGCAAACAGG